rnacentral:rRNA from 1 species
UACGUAGGGUGCAAGCGUUAAUCGGAAUUACUGGGCGUAAAGCGUGCGCAGGCGGUUGUGCAAGACAGAUGUGAAAUCCCCGGGCUCAACCUGGGAACUGCAUUUGUGACUGCACGGCUGGAGUGCGGCAGAGGGGGAUGGAAUUCCGCGUGUGGCAGUGAAAUGCGUAGAUAUGCGGAGGAACACCGAUGGCGAAGGCAAUCCCCUGGGCCUGCACUGACGCUCAUGCACGAAAGCGUGGGGAGCAACAGG